rnacentral:rRNA from 1 species
GAUCCUGGCUCAGAUUGAACGCUGGCGGCAGGCUUUAAACACAUGCAAGUCGAACGGUAACAUAAAGAAGCUUGCUUCUUUGAUGACGAGUGGCGGACGGGUGAGUAAUGCUUGGGAAUCUAGCUUAUGGAGGGGGGAUAACUACGGGAAACUGUAGCUAAUACCGCGUAAUAUCGAAAGAUUAAAGUGUGGGACCUUCGGGCCACAUGCCAUAGGAUGAGCCCAAAGUGGGAUUAGGUAGUUGGUGAGG